UAGAGUGAUCAGCCAUUUUUUGUUCCGUGGAGAAAAAAUCAGAACAAUUUUGAUAUUUUUUUAAAAAAUUUUUAGAUUUGAGAGCGUUUUGCACAUUUCACUUAUCUAUAUAUCCAUCCUAUCACCUAUUAUCUCCUCAUCUUAUUUGUAGUAGUCAACACCACAUCGUUAUUGUGCCAUCGUAGUUCUCAUAAGUAAUUGGCACAUAAAAAAAAAUUUUGAUAAAAACAUACAAAGCUUAUAUCAUUUUAAAUCAGUUAUUUGAUCUUUAAAAAUUUUAAUUUUACUAUCUAAUCUAUCAGUCUGUUUGAUAUAAAUUAGCAAAUAAUAUUUUAACUUCAAAAUUUUAACCUCAUUAUUUACUUUAAUAAAUUUAUAAUUAUGAGAAUUGUAUAAAGUAUAUAUAUUAUCUAAAUCUGUUAGAAUUAACGAUGUAUUCAUAUUUUAGAAUCAAAAUGCUGUUGAUCGACUCAAAACAAAUUAACAAUAUUAAAUAGCGAAAUUAAAAUUUUGAAAGAUGAAAUAGGCAAUUCAAAAUAUUUUAUAAGUUAGAAAAAUUUUAUAAGUUUUUGUCUAGAAAAAAAAUUAAAGA
rnacentral:lncRNA from 1 species